rnacentral:misc_RNA from 1 species
GAUGAAGAACGUAGCGAAAUGCGAUAAGUAAUGUGAAUUGCAGAAUUCAGUGAAUCAUCGAAUCUUUGAACGCACAUUGCGCCCGCCAGUAUUCUGGCGGGCAUGCCUGUUCGAGCGUCAUUUCAACCAUCAAGCCCCAGGCUUGUGUUGGAGCCCUACGGCUGCCGCAGCCUCCCAAAACCAGUGGCGGGCUCGCUAUCACGCCGAGUGCAGUAGUUUACUCUUCGCUCAGGGCGUGUGGCGGGUGCUAGCCGUAAAACCCCCAACUUCUCAAGGUUGACCUCGGAUCAGGUAGGAAUACCCGCUGAACUUAAGCAUAUCAAUAAGCGGAGGA